CCUGCUGCCUUCUGUCUUAUCCUCCGCAUUUCAUCCAGAGAGCAGGUAGACGACCUUCACCUGGAGAGAAGGUGGCACAUUGUGGUCGAUCACACCAGCUCUGGAGCGAGACUUCCUGGGUUUAGUUCCAGCUCUGUCUUUCUGACCUGGGCGUCCUGAGGCCUCCCUAGACGCUGAGAAGACGUCAGCACCGUGCUUCCUGUAAAGCCUGUAGAACCCUGAGCCAAUUAAACCGCUUUUCUUUAUAAAUUACCCAGUGUCAGGUGUUUAUAGCAAUGCAAGGACUACCUAACACUUAUUUGUAAAGCACUUAAGAAAAUUUCGAGCACCUGGUA
rnacentral:lncRNA from 10 species